rnacentral:rRNA from 1 species
UCCUACGGGAGGCAGCAGUGGGGAAUAUUGGACAAUGGGCGCAAGCCUGAUCCAGCAAUGCCGCGUGAGUGAUGAAGGCCUUCGGGUCGUAAAGCUCUUUUACCAGGGAUGAUAAUGACAGUACCUGGAGAAUAAGCUCCGGCUAACUCCGUGCCAGCAGCCGCGGUAAUACGGAGGGAGCUAGCGUUGUUCGGAAUUACUGGGCGUAAAGCGCACGUAGGCGGUUACUCAAGUCAGAGGUGAAAGCCCGGGGCUCAACCCCGGAACUGCCUUUGAAACUAGGUGACUGGAAUCUUGGAGAGGCGAGUGGAAUUCCGAGUGUAGAGGUGAAAUUCGUAGAUAUUCGGAAGAACACCAGUGGCGAAGGCGACUCGCUGGACAAGUAUUGACGCUGAGGUGCGAAAGCGUGGGGAGCAAACAGGAUUAGAUACCCGAGUAGUC